AUCUUCCGCAUGAUUGUCGCUUUAGGCGUAAGUCUCGUUGUUUUGUCCAUGGUGCUAGACGAAGGCACGUUUGGUGCCAAUGCAGAACCUAAAGUGUCAUUUAGACCUCGCCCUGUAAAUGUCCCCAGACCAAAACCCAGACCGGUGGCUACUAAACCUGCGCCACCCAAGAAACCUGUGAAACCAGCUUCACCUGCUAAACCUGCUGGAUCUGCUAAACCUUCUGCAGUUGCUAAAGCACCCGCAUCUACUCCUCAUUCUCCUGAAGCUGUUCCACCUUCUGAAUCUUCCAAACCGUCUAGAUUUACAAGCACAGAUGCUGAGGAAUGCUGAUGAUUUGCAGCACUGCUACAUUCCAAGAUAAGUACGAAGACAAUGUUCAUUUAGAAUCUAAGAACGGGCUUCAUCGAACAUCUGCUGCUGGAGAACAUGAUGGGAAACGAUGACUAGGAACACCCUGCCCUAAAUACUUUCCUAAAAUAUGCUACAUAAUAUGUAUGACAAAUAUUGCUGGAAAGAGAAAUAUUAAGGCGCAGAUACUAGCGACGAAAAUUCUAAAUAAAGUUACCUUUCAUCUC